UUUUUACAGUUAUUUUUUUUUAAUAAUAAAAUUGGAAUGAAUUACUAUGGAAUAUGACUAUAAUGAUACAAUGAUUAAGGAAAAUUGAAGAAUAAUUAAUAAGAUCUGUUCUUUCGAUAAUCAGAACUACAGUUUCGAAUAAACGAUAUAGCAAAACUAUGAUUUAUACAAAGUGAAAUCUACUUCAUACUUCAAAACAUUCUUCGUAUAAGAAUUAACGCCACUCAGAUUCUAAUUGAUUUCAUCUUGAAAGAGUUUAAGUGAUAAUAGUCGCCUGAGUUUUUAUCCUAACAAUGAAAUAAGGUCAUAUGGAUGAGACAUGAUUUCGAAUGUAUUAAUUAUAUAUUA